GGCUCGGUAGCUUAGUUGGUAAAGCACUUGUCUAGUAUACAAAUAUCCUGGGUUCGAAUCCCGGCCAAGCAC
rnacentral:tRNA from 1 species